GAUUACAUCGCUAAAAAAAAGCAUCAGUAAAUGAGUAGUCAUUAGAAAAGUCUUUUUUAACAUCACUUCGAUUUUUUUGUAUCAGCGUCGGACCCAGGAGCCUCAACAUCACCUUUGGGAAGCUUGUCAAUUAAUGACUUUACAAGAGCCCAAGCAUUCAGGACCAAAGGCUGACGUGUAGUAAAUUGAACUAACUUCUCUAGAAAAUUAUUGAUGGCUGCUUUGUGAUCCGAAAGAAAAGGAGAAAUGUACGAUGCAUAAAUAAAUGCUGCACCUUGCGUUCUAGGAUUUAGAAGCCAUAACCAAAAUACAAUCUUCGAAGUAGAAUAGAACGGAACCCAACUUAGAAAUCUUCCUAAUAUAGAUUCAGCAGCCGUUACACAACCAUAGACACACCAGUAUGCCAUAAGUCGUCGUCGCUCUUCUUCUGUACAAAUGUUAUAACUAAUGUUCAUAAAAAAUCCGACUCAUGGUAAAACCAACGAAUAUGCUUUUUACUUCGGCGGAAAAAUAAACCUACCUAUUGAUUUGUGUUCUUCAUUUC